rnacentral:rRNA from 1 species
GACAGAGGGUGCAAACGUUGUUCGGAAUUACUGGGCGUAAAGCGUGUGUAGGCGGCUACAUUAAGUCGGAUGUGAAAGCCCCGGGCUCAACCCGGGAAGUGCACUCGAUACUGCGUAGCUUGAGUCUCGGAGAGGUUGGUGGAAUUCUCGGGUGUAGAGGUGAAAUUCGUAGAUAUCGAGAGGAACACCGGUGGCGAAGGCGGCCAACUGGACGAAGACU